AGUCUGUUUGGUAUAUAGAUGCUGACACCAGCUGUGAUGUAAAAACCCAGCCAACACAGGCCCAAAGGAGAAGAACCAGGGACUCUGCAAAUGCAUUUUCUGACACUCAAGCCUCACCCCAGGAGGUAGUUGAAGUUCAGACAUUGCAAUUGGCUGAAGUACCAGUGCGCAGUGGAGGAACGGACCUGGACCCUCUAGACGUACGUUCAUCUUAUUUUUUCUGGUGUAUUUUCUA
rnacentral:lncRNA from 1 species